rnacentral:rRNA from 1 species
UACGGAGGGGGCUAGCGUUGUUCGGAAUUACUGGGCGUAAAGCGCACGUAGGCGGCUUUGCAAGUCAGAGGUGAAAGCCCGGGGCUCAACCCCGGAAUUGCCUUUGAGACUGCAUCGCUAGAAUUGUGGAGAGGUAAGUGGAAUUCCGAGUGUAGAGGUGAAAUUCGUAGAUAUUCGGAAGAACACCGGUGGCGAAGGCGGCUCACUGGCUCAUUACUGACGCUCAGGCGCGAUAGCGUGGGGAUCAAACAGG